rnacentral:rRNA from 1 species
GACGAACGCUGGCGGCGUGCUUAACACAUGCAAGUCGAACGAAGUGGCGAACGGGUGAGUAACGUGUAAUCAACCUGCUCCUCAGAGGGGGACAACAGUUGGAAACGACUGCUAAUACCGCAUACUGAAGGAGGGGUUUGCGUCUGAGUAGCUGGUUGGGGGGGUAACGGCCCACCAAGGCGAUGAUCAGUAGGCGGGCUGGGAGGAUGAACGGCAACAUGGGGGCUGAGACACGGCCCAGACGCCUACGGGAGGCAGGGGUGGGGAAUCUGCCGCAAUGGGCGAAAGUCUGACGGGGCAACGCCGCGUGAGUGGUGACGGCCUUCGGGUUGUAAAGGUCUGUUAAUCGGGACGCGGUACCGGAAUAGAAAGCGACGGCUAACUACGUGCCAGCAGCCGCGGUAAUUC